UACUGGAGCCCUGGGCCACGGCAUUAUAGG
rnacentral:piRNA from 1 species